rnacentral:tRNA from 1 species
GGCGAUGUAGCCAAAUGGCUAAGGCAGAGGUCUGCAAAACCUUUAUUUGCCGGUUCGAGUCCGGCCAUCGCCUCCA